AGUGAACGCUGGCGGCAGGCCUAACACAUGCAAGUCGAGCGGCAGCGGGUCCUUCGGGAUGCCGGCGAGCGGCGGACGGGUGAGGAAUGCAUCGGAAUCUGCCCUGUCGUGGGGGAUAACCUAGGGAAACUUAGGCUAAUACCGCAUACGACCCACGGGUGAAAGCGGGGGAUCGCAAGACCUCGCGCGAUAGGAUGAGCCGAUGUCCGAUUAGCUAGUUGGCGGGGUAAAGGCCCACCAAGGCGACGACCGGUAGCUGGUCUGAGAGGAUGAUCAGCCACACUGGGACUGAGACACGGCCCAGACUCCUACGGGAGGCAGCAGUGGGGAAUAUUGGACAAUGGGCGCAAGCCUGAUCCAGCCAUGCCGCGUGGGUGAAGAAGGCCUUCGGGUUGUAAAGCCCUUUUGUCCGGGAAGAAAUCGUCUGGGCUAAUACCCCGGGCGGAUGACGGUACCGGAAGAAUAAGCACCGGCUAACUUCGUG
rnacentral:rRNA from 1 species